UAUCUAAACUACAAGGAUUCUAAAGAAAGAGAGAUCAAGCUAUUUCCGAUUUAGCUAAUUCUAUAAUGAAACUAACAUUGAUAAGCUUACCCAAAAGCGUACACUCCGUUAUACUCCGUUAUUUAAAACUCUCUCAUCUUGACGGUCAUGACAUUACACUUUGGCUCAGAAAGCCAAGCAUAAUAAAAUUAUAGAUUAAAAACCCAC
rnacentral:lncRNA from 1 species